UACAGAGGGUGCGAGCGUUGUCCGGAAUCACUGGGCGUAAAGGGCGCGUAGGUGGCGGCCCAAGUCCGUGGUGAAAGCCUCGCCGCUUAACCGGGGAACUGCAUCUGAUACUGGAUGGCUUGAGAUUGGGAGAGGGAUGCGGAAUUCCAGGUGUAGCGGUGAAAUGCGUAGAUAUCUGGAGGAACACCGGUGGCGAAGGCGGCAUCCUGGACCAACACUGACGCUGAGGAGCGAAAGCCAGGGGAGCAAAGCGGG
rnacentral:rRNA from 1 species